rnacentral:rRNA from 1 species
UAACCUACCCAUCAGAGGGGGAUAACACUUGGAAACAGGUGCUAAUACCGCAUAACAGUUUAUGCCGCAUGGCAUAAGAGUGAAAGGCGCUUUCGGGUGUCGCUGAUGGAUGGACCCGCGGUGCAUUAGCUAGUCGGUGAGGUAACGGCUCACCAAGGCCACGAUGCAUAGCCGACCUGAGAGGGUGAUCGGCCACACUGGGACUGAGACACGGCCCAG